UCGCGUUCCUAAGUUGCCAGUUGGGUGGGAAGCACGGACUCCUUUCCCGCACAGCGGCCAGAGUCUUAAUGUGUUCCAUCUGCCUGGAAGGAUCUCACCAGAAAGGAACGAGACACAAGUUCUCUAGAAAGAGAGAGAAACGAUGAUGUCAACGAUAUGCUCGUCCUUAUGUGAAGGUAUAACGAAGCUCACUUCACUAGCGUGAUGAUCUGUCUGAAAGAAUUACAAAAAAAUAUAUAUUAAGAAGUAGAACUUGCAUGUGCACUAGUUUCUGACUGUGAAAUGAAGGAAGCGUCUAGGAGUAGGGUAUUGCAAUUCCCCCUGGAUGGGAUGCUAGUUCAUCGCAUGCAAGGUCAGCCUCAAGGAUACUAGUAAGAUGGCAGUGUGAAUGAUUAAAGUGUUUUGCCUUUGAACACAACUUGCAGAGAAUAGCCAACGCUCAUACUCGUGACGCUGGAUUCAAAGUCCUCAGAUUUACUUUUUAACCUAACUUCACCCUACCUUCCUACAGUCUUAGAAAUAAUAAAAAUAACUCUAAAUUUUACAAUUUUUGCCUCUAGUGAGAACAGAAUAGAGGCAGACGUGAUUCGGACUGAUGAGCGUGGUUCUUUCGUUUCCGUCCAAGCGUACCUUAAGCUUGAUCCUGUCCAUACUAUUAAUACUACUAGUAUCUAAGAUUUAAUUAUGAAAGAUACAAUGCUUCAUUAAUUGUCACCUUUUCUUUGGUCGAUAAACAUUCUUUAAUUUCAUCAUUUUUUGAAAGUCUUCUAGGAUAUACCACUUUAGCACUGCUUGUGUCUAAUUCCUCUCCAGGAAUCGUGAACUUGACUCCUUCUCCUACAAGUUAAACGUGUAAAGCGAAAAUAAAAAAAAUUAAAUUUAUAAACAUCUAUGAUCCUUACAAUUUGCGGUUAGAGUUAAAUCAGUACUAUAAAGAAAUUAAAAGUAGAAUUAGUCAUUUUACGCGGUUCUUGUGUGGUGGACAAACAAAAUAUACCACAAUAUACAACUUAGAAUUCUUUCAACAAGCUUCCUUGAAUAUCGACUAAUAUACUCGUACGUAUACCUGGGACCAUCCAUCCACUCAGCAAAAUCAUUUCGCAGAAGGAAAUGAAAGCAAGUCUCUUCACUGCCAUCAUAAGCCUUCCCUAUACAGAAACAAAUUGAACGCUUUGUAUAAUGAACAAAGAUUUUAUUAAGCCAGAUUCAAGGUUCGUUGAAUAUAGAAGUUGUUGUGGAG